CCUACGGGAGGUAGCAGUGAGGAAUAUUGGUCAAUGGACGCAAGUCUGAACCAGCCAUGCCGCGUGCAGGAAGACGGCUCUAUGAGUUGUAAACUGCUUUUGUACGAGGGUAAACGCAGAUACGCGUCUCUGUCUGAAAGUAUCGUACGAAUAAGGAUCGGCUAACUCCGUGCCAGCAGCCGCGGUAAUACGGAGGAUUCAAGCGUUAUCCGGAUUUAUUGGGUUUAAAGGGUGCGUAGGCGGUCGGAUAAGUUAGAGGUGAAAUCCCGAGGCUCAACUUCGGAAUUGCCUCUGAUACUGGUAGGCUAGAGAGUAGUUGCGGUAGGCGGAAUGUAGGGUGUAGCGGUGAAAUGCUUAGAGAUCAUACAGAACACCGAUUGCGAAGGCAGCUUACCAAGCUACUUCUGACGUUGAGGCACGAAAGCGUGGGGAGCAAACAGGAUUAGAUACCCGGGUAGUC
rnacentral:rRNA from 1 species